rnacentral:lncRNA from 1 species
GUUUAGGGUAAUUCGAGUGCUCAAACUUCACUGUAACCUACAAAACCUGGUUUCUAGCAUACUGCUUGCCGACGUGGCAGCCACGGUGGACCGCAUUACAUACAUAAUUACUCGUUUCUUCCCCAUGGAAGAACCGUAGCCUCCUCUGUUCAAAUCGAUUCCCUAGCAGCUCUGCCCCCUCCCCUAGAUCUAACCCGCAUCGCACCCAUUAAUGGAACAUCCACCUCCAUAUGUGACCGAUGCAGUACAAGAAAGGUGAUUGCACUCAGGGCCAAGACAAGCGGAAACUAUGGACGGUACUUCUACAUCUGCCCGACAUACAAGGUCAUAUUGGGAUUUAAGUGUGUUUGGACUGUAAACUCAUGUGUGGAUUUGAUUUUUUUUGAUUGAUUUGUAUAUGUUUGCAGCGUGAUGGUAGUGGUUGUGACUUCUGGUACUAGGAAGAUGACUAUGAGCAAUAUUUGAUGGAGAAUGGCCAUGUUCUACAUAAUCAUCUACCAAUAUUCAGCCAAGCAGAGAAGAUGAUUACUGGUGAAGCUGAUGUUUUAGGAAGUUGUGGAAUGAAGAGGGAAGAUAGAAAAGCAGAUGGCCUGAUGGUUCAAAAGCUAGAUUUAGUAGUAGGGUUACUUAGUUAAGAUUGUUGUGCCACUAAAAAUAAUAUCAGUCUUAUGUGUGUGCAUUUUUCUGAUUAAUCUAUAUGUAAGGAUUGUUUGAUGUGAGUUAUGGUGGUAAUGAAUGAAAAGAGUACUCAGAUUCAUUAAGCAUUUGUAAACCUCAUCCCCAGUUCACAGAAGCAUUAUUGUUGCCAUUUAAGUUCAUAUAGGCAACAUACAAAAGCAUUCAUGUUUAGCUAGCAUUUUUGUUGCCCUCUGUAGAUAACACACACAAAAGACUGAUCAAGAGCAUCAGUGCAUCAUACAAAAACAUUCAUGCUCAACUAUUAUAGUUAAAGGCAUUCAUCGGCCUUGAUCAAACUGCAUACAUCUACUUCAAUUCUUAUUAUUCUUGGUCCUUGUUUCUCCCUUAUUUGUUGGUGGUUUUGCAAUCCUCUUUCUUGUUGUGUUCCUUCCUUCUUUGGUUGCUGAUGUGAGGACUAUAGGUCUUGGCACAGGAAUGUUU